GAUGAACGCUGGCGGCGUGCCUUAUACAUGCAAGUCGAGUGGGUUUAGACCCACGGCAAACGGUUGAGUAACACGUAGGUACUUUCCUUGUCACAGGAAUAACCCUCCUAAAGGAGGGCUAAUACCUGAUGUGAUCGCAAGAUUAAAGGGUAUCCGCAAGGAUUACCGGACAAGAAGAGGCCUGCGGCCUAUCAGCUAGUUGGCGGGGUAAAUGCCCACCAAGGCUAUGACGGGUAGCUGGUCUUAUGAGGAUGAUCAGUCACAUGGGCACUGAGACACGGGACCAACUCCUACGGGAGGCAGCAGUAGGGAAUUUUGCGCAAUGGGCGAAAGCCUGACGAAGCGACGCCGCGUGCGGGAUGAAGGCCUUCGGGUAGUAAACCGCUUUUAUAAGGGACGAACUUUGACGGUACCUUAUGAAUAAGAGGUUGCUAACUAUGUG
rnacentral:rRNA from 1 species